rfam:Stegodyphus mimosarum contig43007, whole genome shotgun sequence.
GCCUUCGUGGUGUAGUGGUCAGCACGCUCGACACUUAACCGAGAGGUCCGUGGUUCGAUUCCCGGCUAAGGCG